rnacentral:rRNA from 1 species
UACGUAGGGUGCGAGCGUUGUCCGGAAUUACUGGGCGUAAAGAGCUCGUAGGUGGUUUGUCGCGUUGUUCGUGAAAACUCACAGCUUAACUGUGGGCGUGCGGGCGAUACGGGCAGACUUGAGUACUGCAGGGGAGACUGGAAUUCCUGGUGUAGCGGUGGAAUGCGCAGAUAUCAGGAGGAACACCGGUGGCGAAGGCGGGUCUCUGGGCAGUAACUGACGCUGCUAGGACGAAAGCGUGGGGAGCGAAUGGG